ACAGGUUUAUGAGCUGCCAUUGCCUCCAAUGGUACGAUUCCAAAGUGUUCAUCCUUUGGCGUAUAAAUGACACACAGGCAUUGGGAAAGAAGAGCAUUUCUUUCAGCUGUUGAGCAAGAUGUGACAAACUUAACUCGAUGAGACACACCUUCCCUUUCAGCUAAGCUUUUAAGUUCCUCCAAGUACUCAACAUUUUCUCUCAGUCGUUUGUCAUAUCCACCUGCAAUAGUCAAAGUGGCAUCAGGUAGAUUAUGAUUUUCAAGAGCAUGCUUAUCAAGGGUGUGAAGCAUAGCAAACGCUGAAACAGCCAACUCUACGUUCUUUUUCCUUUCAAAGCGGUUGAUGGACAGAAAAUUCAGGUUAUAAGAAUGAGAUUCAUCAAACUGAUC
rnacentral:misc_RNA from 1 species